GUGCUCACAUCAGCAGCACAUAGACUAAAAGUGGAACAAUACUGAGAGGAUUUGCAUGGCCCCUGUGCAAGGAUGACAUGCAAAUUUGUGAAGUGUUCCAUAUUUUU